rnacentral:rRNA from 1 species
GACGAACCGUGCGAACGUUGUUCGGAAUCACUGGGCUUAAAGGGCGCGUAGGCGGCCACCGCAAGUCAGUUGUGAAAUCUCUGGGCUUAACCCAGAACGGUCAGCUGAUACUGCGGGGCUAGAGUGCAGAAGGGGCAACUGGAAUUCUCGGUGUAGCGGUGAAAUGCGUAGAUAUCGAGAGGAACACCUGCGGCGAAGGCGGGUUGCUGGGCUGACACUGACGCUGACAGCGCGAAAGCUAGGGGAGCGAACGGG